GAAUCUUCGGCAAUGGGCGCAAGCCUGACCGAGCGACGCCGCGUGCGGGAUGAAGGCCUUCGGGUUGUAAACCGCUGUCAGAGGGGAGGGAAUGCGUGGUAGUUAUCUUCCAUGUUUGACCUAUCCUCCGCGGAAGUACGGGCUAAGUUCGUGCCAGCAGCCGCGGUAAUACGAACCGUACGAACGUUAUUCGGAUUCACUGGGCUUAAAGCGUGCGUAGGCGGCUGGGAAAGUUGGGUGUGAAAGCCCUCGGCUCAACCGAGGAAGUGCGCUCAAAACUACCUGGCUUGAGGGAGGUAGAGGUGAGCGGAACUGAUGGUGGAGCGGUGAAAUGCGUUGAUAUCAUCAGGAAAACCUGUGGCGAAAGCAGCUCACUGGGUCUUUUCUGACGCUGAGGCACGAAAGCUAGGG
rnacentral:rRNA from 1 species